rnacentral:rRNA from 1 species
UACGUAGGUGGCAAGCGUUUGUCCGGAUUUAUUGGGUUUAAAGGGUGCGUAGGCGGCUUUGUAAGUCAGUGGUGAAAUAUGGCAGCUUAACUGUCAAGGUGCCAUUGAUACUGCAGAGCUGGAGUACAGAUGAGGUAGGCGGAAUUGACGGUGUAGCGGUGAAAUGCUUAGAUAUCGUCAAGAACACCUAUAGCGAAGGCAGCUUACUAAGCUGUAACUUGACGCUGAGGCACGAAAAGUGUGGGGGAUCAAAACAGGA